GUGUAGACUAUGGUCGGGUUGUUGUCGCUUUGACACAUUCCCCAUUUCCUUUCUCAAUUUCAUUUGUUUGUAGUUAUUUUUUUUUUUAUUUUUUACAUCGUUAAAAAAGUUAGCAUGAAUUUCAUAAAACUGAAAAUGGAAAUGGGAAAUGUGUCAAAGAGACAACAAUCCAACCAUUGAG
rnacentral:sRNA from 1 species